rnacentral:rRNA from 1 species
ACGUAGGGUGCAAGCGUUAAUCGGAAUUACUGGGCGUAAAGCGUGCGCAGGCGGUCUUGCGAGACAGAUGUGAAAUCCCCGGGCUCAACCUGGGAACUGCAUUUGUGACUGCAAGGCUAGAGUACGGUAGAGGGGGAUGGAAUUCCGCGUGUAGCAGUGAAAUGCGUAGAUAUGCGGAGGAACACCGAUGGCGAAGGCAAUCCCCUGGACCUGUACUGACGCUCAUGCACGAAAGCGUGGGGAGCAAACAGGAUUAGAUACCCUGGUAGUCCACGCCCUAAACGAUGUCAACUGGUUGUUGGGAGGGUUUCUUCUCAGUAACGAAGCUAACGCGUGAAGUUGACCGCCUGGGGAGUACGGCCGCAAGGUUG